rnacentral:rRNA from 1 species
UGGUCUUGACAUCCCGGAGACCCUUAGGAAACUAGGGGGUGCUUCCAUCUGGAAGAAUCUGGAGACAGGUGCUGCAUGGCUGUCGUCAGCUCGUGUCGUGAGAUGUUGGGUUAAGUCCCGCAACGAGCGCAACCCUUGCCUUUAGUUGCCAGCAGUUCGGCUGGGCACUCUAAAGGGACUGCCGGUGUUAAACCGGAGGAAGGUGGGGAUGACGUCAAGUCCUCAUGGCCUUUAUGACCAGGGCUACACACGUACUACAAUGGCCGAUACAAAGGGCAGCGACACUGCGAGGUGAAAGCCAAUCCCGUAAAAUCGGUCUCAGUCCGGAUUGGAGUCUGUAACUCGACUCCAUGAAGUUGGAAUCGCUAGUAAUCGUGGAUCAGCAUGCCACGGUGAAUACCGUUCCCGGGCCUU